rfam:Leptolyngbya valderiana BDT 20041 contig00254, whole genome shotgun sequence.
GGGCGUGUGCCAGAGUGGACUAAUGGGGCGGAUUGCAAAUCCGUUUGGCGAAAGCCGUUCGUGGGUUCGAAUCCCACCGCGCCCU